GCAUGGUUGUCGUCAGCUCGUGCCGUGAGGUGUUAGGUUAAGUCCUGCAACGAGCGCAACCCCUGUCACUAGUUGCCAUCAUUCAGUUGGGGACUCUAGUGAGACUGCCUACGCAAGUAGAGAGGAAGGUGGGGAUGACGUCAAAUCAUCACGGCCCUUACGCCUUGGGCCACACACGUAAUACAAUGGCCGGUACAGAGGGCAGCUACACAGCGAUGUGAUGCAAAUCUCGAAAGCCGGUCUCAGUUCGGAUUGGAGUCUGCAACUCGACUCUAUGAAGCUGGAAUCGCUAGUAAUCGCGCAUCAGCCAUGGCGCGGUGAAUACGUUCCCGGGCCUUGUACACACCGCCCGUCAAGCCAUGGAAGUCUGGGGUACCUGAAGUCGGUGACCGUAACAGGAGCUGCCUA
rnacentral:rRNA from 1 species